CUGGCUUCCAGAAGGCUACAAGAAAAGACAGGUAAUCUCUUAUCCGGUGCCUCUUUUAACGAACCUGUCGCUUGUCUAUCUGCCUCCUGAGUGUUUGUAUGAAUGUGUGUGAAGGCCGGUGCAUGUAUUUUCUUUUUAAAAUCUUAGCUUGACUGCCUAGCGGGCAGGGGACGCAGCACCCGGUGAAGGGCUGGGGACCACCCAAGUAAGAGGGUUGGGUUGUUGUUAGCAGUGCUGGGGACCACACGUGUGAUCGGGUAGGGGAAUUACAAGCAGCCGGUGAAGGGCUGGGACUAAUUUGUGGAUCACCUGUUAGGAGGUGGGAUUUUACUGUACAGGGUUACAGCCUAGAGAAGAGAGGCUGGGAUUGUUGAUUUUUGAUUUCCAUUGUUUUGUUUUAUUAUGUACAUGGCCAUAUUACUCUCUGUUAUUCUGUGGAUUUUGUUUAAUUGUUGCUACAGUGUGGGUACCCUUGGUGUGUGUGUGUGUGUGUGUUGUGUGGCUUGUCAUUGAUUCUGGAGUGUAUACUCAUUUAUACGUAUGCGAUUUUUGUAAAUGCCUUUUGUUUCGUGUUGCCACGUUUAUCUUUUCCUUUGUACUCUAUCUGUCCUGUGUCUGUGCGUGUAUAGUGCAGUCUAUACAUUGUGUCUUCAACCGGUUUAUCUGCCUCUAAUUUUAACGUAUAAAUUUGUCCUUCUGUCUUGUUACUUUACGGCGCUCACACGGUUAACCUUCAUGCCUGAAGUUUCCCCCUUUUCUCUUUCUCCCCUUUUUUGCACUCUGUCCUCCCCUCCCCCCUCCCCUCUUGCUUUCUGUGAUGUACAGACCUAGGGGACAGGAGUGACAUGCCUGCAUUUCAGAGCUACUGAAAUAUUUUAAUUGUGUAAUAUUGUGUGCAUUGUUAUAUACCUAGAUGUUGUUAGGAAGGUUACGGUGUGAUGUGUUGUGUAGAGGUUACUAGAGUUUGAAUAUAUAUAUAUAUAUAUAUAUAUCAUUAUUAUUGCCAUUUACAUGGCGCCAACAGAUUCCGUAGUGCUUUGUAUAUAUAUAUAUUGUGUUUUGUGAUAAGGUAGUGAGGAUUGUGGGGGAGACUAGCUCACAAGAAUUCAUUCCGUGUUGAAUACGGAAUUUAGGAAGGUGUAGCCUGAUACAAUAAUAGAGGGAUAUUUGGACGUGUUAAGUGUAAAAGGAAAGUGAUUUGUUGCAAUACUAAGCAAUGUGGAUAGAGGGAAUAUGCAGAGUAGCUAGGUUAGUAUAUGAAGAGGAAGGUGAUUAAUGGUUGUUGGAUGAUAAGGGAAAUUGGUUGAAAUCCGUGAGUUUAUUUUGCAUCAUGUUACUUUAAAGUACAUGUUUCUAUGGACAGCUUUAUGGGCUGUUAAAUGCAUAAUGUUCUCAACUGUCUUAUUUAACCUGUCAGGUUUAUUUAUAGUUUAGUAUUUCAUCUCGAAACUGACUUAUUUUAUUAGUUAUAAUAUAGUGUAUUGUUGAAAGUAUGUCAGCCACCUCCCUAAAGAUGGCGCCUAGUACAGAAGGAGGUUGGCCCUGCCAGUCCUGUGACCUAUCUACAGUCAUGUUUGCUUUUAAAGUGACGUCACUUCCACCCUUACCAUGCCCACACCUCCUGUCUUCCUUUCCCACACAUAUCAUGGACGUCACCUUGCCAUAAUUUCCUUCCCCGCCCCUGUCAUAGCUGCCUCCAUCAUGAGGCCUACCCCUAUUAUGAUCGUCCUAUUUAGAGACAUGUUGUUUUCCUUACACUAUACAUAUUAUGAACAGAAACAUUAUAAUUACUAACACAAUCAUGCCAUUUGUUUCCCUGUAUUAGAAAUGUGUCUGUGACAAUAAUAUUAAAAAAAUUUGCUAAAAUGUAAUUUGCAACUGUGGUGUGACCUACAAAUGAGAUCUGUUGGACACGAAUAUAGCAGCUGAUUAUCCAGAUGAAUAUUCAUUAAUGCCUGUGUCUUGCAACAAGGAAAAUAGCCAAAUAAUGCAAGUUAUUUUAAACAUUGUAUCUUUACUUAAUCGAAUCUUGCUAGUUACAGAUCGUAUGUUUACAGUAACAUCCUUUACGUUAAAUAAUGGUUUAGCAUUAGGAGGAUUUGUGACAUGUUUUAUUAACCCAGACACUACUGGUUAUUCAUUUUAGUUACAGGGUGGUAUAAUUGUUAUGGUCUAAUUCAUAUAAAUGUUAGUACCUCAAUAGUUAAAGUUUUAUCCAAAGACAUACAGGAACUUUACUUCACUUACUAUUAAACAUUAUUUAUAAUGAUAGACAUGUUCAGACUGCAAAAAGCUAUUGCUAGUGACAUAGAAAGGGGCUAGAGUCAGUAACACAGCCCAUACAGAGGAGAGCAAACCCACUGAUGCUUAAUGCCCCUGCCAUGGCAGUGUCUACAGGGGAUGGGGGAGGGCCACUAGCCACAGUAGUUCUACCCAUUGAGGGUCAUCCCACUACUUUCCUGGUUGACACAGGUGCAGCCCGCAGUGUUCUUAGAGAACAAGACCUGCCUGACUCAUCAUUCCUGUCUGACACCGAUGUUUCCUGUGUUGGUGUUGAUGAUACCCUCUCACCAAACUUCUCCAUGUGGGGUCAGAUAUCCUCUCCCAGUUUGUAGUCUCUUCCACGUGUCCCAUCAACCUUUUGGGUGCUGAUGUCCUGUCCCGUCUCCAAGCAUCCAUUACUUUUACUGCAGAUGGCCAAGUUCAACUAAACACACCCCUGUCAUGAAAAGACACUUCAGUGCUUUGUUCCCUCCCCAUACUACUGCAUCUUGCAUCUCCCGUAGGGGAAUCAAGGGUCCCUCAUGCCCCCAGUGCUCUGGACAAUAUUCCUGUAACACUCUGGUCUACUGGCCCGGAUGAUAUUGGACGCCUUAAAGUUCCCCCCGUUGUGGUCAAGCUUCUACCAGGAGCAGUACCUCCACGAAGACCCCAGUAUCCUCUGAAUCCUGCUCAGGCCCUUGCCAUUUCCAAACAAGUGGAGACCCUCCUAGCCAAGGGUACUCUCGUCAAGUGUGUAUCACCAUGUAACACUCCACUUUUUCCUGUAAAGAAAAAGACUGAGAAAGGACAGCCCGAUCAAUACCGCAUGGUUCAGGAUCUACGUGCAGUCAAUGAUGUCACAGUCAAAGACACAGCUGUGGUCCCCAAUCCACACACAUUACUGUCACAGGUUCCACCCUCUGCCACAAUCUUUACUGUAGUGGACCUUGCUAAUGCAUUUUUCAGUGUGCCCUUGGACCCAUCCUGCCAAUACCUCUUUGCCUUUACUCAUGAAGGUCAGCAAUAUACAUGGACUGUUAUGCCUCAGGGGGCUCAAAAUUCCCCCACUCAGUUUGCCCGGGCCAUGUCAAUGGUCCUUGAACCCUGGCAAAAGACCCACACAGACGUUGUCUUGCUUCUGUAUGUUGAUGACUUACUUCCCUGUGCUGCUGAUCUCCAAGCUGCUGAACGUGUUUCUGAAGACCUACUUAUCUUCUUAGCUGAAGAAGGCUUCAAGGUCUCUAAAUCAAAACUCCAGUGGUGCCGGCCCUCUGUGGUCUUCUUGGGACAUUGCCUUUCCCAUGGCACCGGCCACCAUACCAAGAACAGGAUCCUAGCUAUCUUGAAUCUACCAACGCCUUCAGCUCAUCACUCUCUCCAUGCCUUCUUAGGCCUCAUCACUUACUGUAGAUCUUGGAUUCCCGAAGCCUCUCAACUGAUGCAACCACUAUGAUGCUCUAAGAAGCGAACCUUUUUCACUUUCAUCUCAUGCCCUUGUCUGCUUCACUGCCCUGAAAAAAGCAAUUGCCUCUGCUCCUGCCUUGGGCUUACCCAAUUACCAGUUGCCCUUAAAGUUGUUUGUCUCUGAGGAGUUGGGCCACGCCUCUGGGGUCCUUACUCAAGCACAUGGCUCCAGACAGAGACCCAUUGGCUAUUUUUCCUGCAUGCUUGUCCCCGUUGCCAGAGGCAGUGCUUCCUGCCUACGAGCAGUGUUUGCUGCUAGUGCUUUGUUGGACAAAACCAAUGACUUUGUCCUUGGUCAUUCUCUGACCGUCCUGGCUCCACAUGAUAUUUCUGCGAUUCUACAACAGGUUUAACUGAAACAUCUCUCUUCUCAACGUCAUCUACGUUUGCAAACCUCCUUACUCCUACCUGAUAACGUUACCUUACAACGCUGCUACUCACUGAACCCGACCACUCAUCUGCCACUUCCCAAGGGCGGAGUGGCACAGUACUGGUACAGCCUGGAUAUCAACCCAGAUGCCCGGAUGGAAUUCCAACUACCUACUCUUGCAACUCCACAUGAUGUGCAACCAGAGAACUUGUUACACUGUACCCUGUGGUUCAAAGACAACCAAGGCCCUGAUGUGGAUUAUAAAGAAGAACUACUUCAGCUUGUGGAAAUUCACAUCACAUUGACAGACUUGCUAUGGGACACCAGAGGCAACAUGGUCCUACUGGUUCACCUCCCAACAGAGGUAUCUCAUCUCUACCGUCACUGGGAAACAGCUGUCCCACAUAUAUCCCUCACCAAGUCUCCUGACCUCUCAUGGAAAGAUCUAUGCCCAAUGACCAAAUCCUGGAGCGCAAUAACCCAAGAACAACUUGAAUCAAUGGGGGUAACUAAGAAGAUUAUCAACUGUAGUACAGUUGGAUACCCUCAAUACCAUUCAGAAAUUUGUGAAGAUCUCCCUCCCAUGGAACAAGACCCAGAAGCCCCUCAUGAUUGCUUUGAACAGAUGAAGAUGGAAACCACCCAUUUACCAACUGUACGAGACUGCUCUACCUAAUCCAGAUCAGAUACUGUUUGUGGAUGGUUCCAGAUUUGCUGAUGAACAAGGGCAAUAUCACACUGGAUAUGCAGUUACUACAGAAAGUCAAGUAUUACAGGCAGCCGCACUCCCGCCAACUAAAUCAGCUCAAGAAGUCGAACUAACAGCCCUCACAGUGGCCUGCAAGCUCUCUGAAGGUCUACGUGUCAACAUUUAUACAGAUUCAAGAUAUGCCCUGGGAGUGGCACAUGAUUUUGGCCUGAUUUGGAAAACCAGAGGAUUUCUCACAGCCACCGGCACUCCGGUGAAACAUGGCACAGCCAUUGAGGAACUAAUGGAUGCCCUGAUACUUCCAGCAGAAGUGGCGGUGCUAAAAGUAAAGGCCCACGGGAGGUUGAAUUCGGAAGAAGCACGAGGCAACCAUUUAGCUGAUCAAGCUGCCAAGGAAGCAGCACGACAAGGGUGGAAAGUGGACUGAAGAGAGGCCACUGAAACAACACCCAUUUACACCAUGCAAACAUUGCCUACAGAUCUCAGACUUUUAAAGGAACAACAAGCCGCUGCAACCCCUCAAGAGAAACAGAGUUGGAAGAAAAGAGGGGCUAUUCUCCGAGAUGAUGAUGUUUACACUAUCAAUCUUAAGUUCAGUCUACCCAAGAAUAUGUAUCCAGCUGUUGUCCAAUGGGCUCAUGGACCAGCCCACCUGUCAACACAUCUGAUGAACUCUCUGAUUGAUAAAUACUUUGAAGCACCGGGUAUUACUACUCUAACACAGAACUAUUGUAGAUCUUGUGCAAUUUGUGCUAAAUGUAACCCCGGGAAGAUUGUUAAAACUGCACCCAACAACUUGGCCAAACCACAGUACCCUUUCCAGAGGAUACAGAUUGAUCACAUCCAGAUGCCAAAAAGUGGACGCUAUGAAUACGCAUUAGUCAUUGUGGACAUAUUCUCAGGAUGGCCAGAAGCCUUCCCAGUGGCCAAUCUUAGCGCAAGAACUACAGCCAAACAUCUUCUGACGGAAAUUGUUUGUCGGUAUGGUGUUCCAGAAGUAAUUGAAAGUGACCAAGGAACCUCCUUUACCGCCUCAUUGACACGGGAAGUCUGGGCAGCACUGGGGGUGACCCUUACAUUCCACACACCAUAUCACCCGCAGAGUAGUGAUAAGGCACAUUGAAGGCCAGAAUGCUCAAAAUGUCCCAAGAAACUAACAUGCCCUGGCCUGAGAGUCUCCCAUUACAUUAUUCAGUGUGAGAUACACCCCUAGGGAAAAAUACAGCUUAUCACCCUAUGAGAUCUUGUUCGGUACAGCACCAAGGUUAGGUUAUUUCCCCUAACAGCUUUAGAUUCAGUCAGAUGCUAUGGUAGAUUAUGUAACUGCUCUCUCUCAUGCCUUGACCAAACUCCAUGCCCAAGUGUUUUCUUCUAUUCCAGAUCCUGAGUCGAAUACAGGUACACACAAGUUGCUUCCAGGUGACUGGGUUAUGGUCAAGAAAUUCCUCAGGAAGCACACUCUUGAGCCAAGAUUUGAUGGUCCUUACCAAGUGCUGCUAAUCACGGCUACCUCAGUAAAACUGGCCGGAAAAGGUUCCUGGAUACACGCCUCACAUUGCAAGAAAGUGCCUGCUCCAGAGGAAGCAGCCCCUGUUGAGUUAUGAGUUUUCUGUGCUUCCUAUAUUUUCAUUUGCUGCUAACCAUCACAAAG